UAAUACAGAGGGUGCGAGCGUUAAUCGGAAUUAUUGGGCGUAAAGGGAGCGUAGGCGGAUGUGCAAGUGAUAGGUGAAAUACCCGGGCUUAACCUGGGGAAGUCCUAUCAGACUGUGCGUCUAGAGUGAGGUAGAGGAAGGUGGAAUUCCUGGUGUAGCGGUGAAAUGCGUAGAUAUCAGGAAGAACAUCAAUGGCGAAGGCAACCUUCUGGGCCUUUACUGACGCUGAGGCUCGAAAGCGUGGGGAGCGAACAGG
rnacentral:rRNA from 1 species